rnacentral:lncRNA from 1 species
GUGUGGCUAUGAGUGAUCUGAGAAAUAUCUUCUCCAAUCAUUGGACUAGAGGAGAUCAAUAUCAAAAUUGAUUUGGUAAUAAUCUCUAACUUGUUUUGAUAGCAAUGGUAGAUCUAAUAAUUAGAUCUAGAUUUUCAGUAUUGAUGAGAUUGAUGCAUAUUUUUUGUUUUCAAAUCUAAAGUGCAUGUUUUUUAUAUAAAAGAUC